AGGACCGGAAGCCAGCAGCGCUACGCGGUC
rnacentral:SRP_RNA from 11 species